AAUGGAAUGACCUCAAUUUCUAUUACACUUGAGUUUUACACCGUUACAUGAACUACAUACAUGACCAUUUUACAUCCCUGCCAUCUAUCAUCUCAUACAAUUGAAACAAAUGAAUUUCCAUUGAUUAUUCUGUUACAAUUAAGUCAUGAAGUACAUCAACCUUUGCUACAUACAUACAACAUCCACACAUUGAAACAAAUACACAUGCAUACAUGCAUUACACCAUCUCUCCGUACAUACACAAGAAAGUGAAAAAUAAAAAGAAGGAAAAUAGAAAUUCAAUUCUAUUACAUACAAUAUGAAAUAUUUGAAACACAUAAGCUUCAUGCUGCAGACUACACACCAACAACCAUGCCAUCACCAUC
rnacentral:lncRNA from 1 species